rnacentral:rRNA from 1 species
AUGUCAAGUAUGAGAAGCUGCCAGAACUUCUGUUUUUGCUGCGGAGUGGUGGGACACACGAUAGAGAAGUUCUGCAGCAUGCCCAAAGAGCUGCGGAAGGCGUCCUACUCCACCGACAUAAGGGCGCCUCCAUAUUGGGCCUCUGCUCAUAGAAAAAUCGAUUUUGGGAAGAAGCUGGUGAAGGACAAGGUGAUCACGGAGGUGGCCUCGGCGGUCAAAAGACUAUACUUGUCUGCUGCUGCAGAUACGACUACGGCGUCAGCUUCGGUGGACGGUUCUGCUCCGGUUGCCACUGACGCACCAAACGCGUUGGAGCAGCUUGUGCUCGUUGGCGGGGGUACCAACAACUCCAGCAAUGGGCCCCCUGUUCAGUUUGCUACUGGAGGCCUGGAGGCGUCCAAUGACAUGGCUGGAGCACUCCUCAACACCAACUCAGGAGCUCCGGCUGGUCAAAUGAGUGAGCUGAUGGAUAAGGGACCUAGGGAGCACCUCCACUCUAUCCUCGGUGCUCCUGGGUCUCCUACUGCUGCUGCUAUGGCGUCUAUGCAGAAGUAG